rnacentral:rRNA from 1 species
GAUCCUGGCUCAGGAUGAACGCUAGCUACAGGCUUAACACAUGCAAGUCGAGGGGAAACGACAUCGAAAGCUUGCUUUUGAUGGGCGUCGACCGGCGCACGGGUGAGUAACGCGUAUCCAACCUGCCCACCACUUGGGGAUAACCUUGCGAAAGUAAGACUAAUACCCAAUGACAUCCCACGAAGGCAUCCGAAUGGGAUUAAAGAUUUAUCGGUGAUGGAUGGGGAUGCGUCUGAUUAGCUUGG